rnacentral:lncRNA from 1 species
ACUCAAGUGACAUAAAUGACAGCAAAAACAGAUGCUUUUGGAGAAAUUGCAGUACCAUGAGUUAGUUCUAAAAAUGUAUAGUUGAUUUGGCUUUACCACGAAUUAGCAUUGGAGUUUUUUGCAGUGCUGCCAUUUACUUUCCACUCAAGGAUUACUCCAGCAGAGGCAACCAUGGUACUGUUGGCGAGAGAAGCACAUGCUGGCUAAUCUACAGUACACCAAGACAAGGGUUGGCGCCCCCCUUGGGUUGUGCUGUGGCGGAGAUCUUUGUGGGCUAUACUCGGCCUUGUCUCAGGAUGGACCUGAGCCCUAGGACCAUGCCUCAGGACUACCUGGCAUGAUGACUCCUUGCUGUCCCCAGUCCACCUGGCCGUGCUGCUGCUCCAGUUUCAACUGUUCUGCCUAUGGAACCCUGACCUGUUCACCGGACGUGCUACCUGUCCCAGACCUGCUCUUUUCAACUCUUUAGAGACAGCAGGAGCGGUAGAGAUACUCUCAAAGAUUGGCUAUGAAAAAGCCAACUGACACUUACUCUUGAGUUGCUGACUUGUUGCACCCUUGACAACUACUAUGAUUAUUUGACCAUGCUGGUCAUUUAUGAACAUUUGAACAUCUUGGCCAUGUGCUCUUAUAAUCUCUACCCCGGCACAGCCAGAAGAGGACUGGCCACCCCUCAUAGCCUGGUUCCUCUCUAGGUUUCUUCCUAGGUUUUGGUCUUUCUAGGGAGUUUUUCCUAGCUACCGUGCUUCUACACCUGC